rnacentral:rRNA from 1 species
UACGUAGGGUGCGAGCGUUAAUCGGAAUUACUGGGCGUAAAGCGUGCGCAGGCGGCUUUGCAAGACAGAUGUGAAAUCCCCGGGCUCAACCUGGGAACUGCAUUUGUGACUGCAAGGCUAGAGUACGGCAGAGGGGGAUGGAAUUCCGCGUGUAGCAGUGAAAUGCGUAGAUAUGCGGAGGAAAACCAAUGGCGAAGGCAA